ensembl:lncRNA
UUCCCUACAAGACAGAUCCACCUUUGCAGUUGCUGCAGUAAUUGCAAAGACUCCAUUGGAAUAUUCUGAAAAGAACUGCAAAGUGAUACCAGCUGCGAGGGAUUUCUCUUCCCUUGCUUCUCAGAGCAGCUCCUUCAAGGCAAAAAAGCUACCUCUCAUUGCUGCCAGUGAAGGGCACAGAGCUUGCAUCGUUUUGAAAUUGCUAUGGGUCUGUCCUUGUUACCAUUGCCUCUUUGCCUGAGACAAAUUGGAUGUUACCCAACACAGAGAGACCAACAGUUGUGCGCUGUUUGGGACAUUCUGAGCAUCUGAAUAUGAUUUUCUUCCCCUCCCCCCUGCUUUUAACUGUGAUGGAGAGAAACAUAACAGCAAUAUGGUGAUCCGUUUGAGGAAAUGAUAGCUGAAUUAGAGACGAUCUCUGCGAUUUGAAUGUAAUUUCCUUUGAAGAAGCUGCAUUUGAGAAGCUACUUUCUUCUGCCUUUAGUAACCUCCAGAAUCAAUUAUUUAGUGUUUGAGAUUGCUGCAGACUAAGCUCACUGACUGCGGAAAAACCUCUCAGCUUUGGUAAAAAAUGUUUUCACAGUUCACCAUUUCAUUUUAGAUGUCUGCUCCUGAUCUGUGAAAAGCAGAAAUUAGCCGUCAGAGUAUUACAGAGUAACUGCCACAAUGAUCGUUGUGCUUCAAGCACAGUGGAAAAUGCAGAAACCAAAAGAACAAGAGAGCCAGAAUAGUAUUAUGAAAUGGUGAUUUUAGUGCAAAGAGAAGAGAAUCUGAAUUUCUGCUCUCAGCAGUGCAGGAUCAUGUACCAAGAUGGCAUCUGGCUGACGUGCAGGGAAGGGAUUGGUGUUUUAAUGAAGCCAAGAAAAUCAGCCUGCUGUCCAGUUCAGCCUGAACCAACAGCACCUCGAACUGACAUCCGAGAAAGACGGGGAGAAAUGAUCUGAAGCAGCAGGAAGGAGAAACAGCAUCUGUAUAAAGUGCAAUAGACAUGAAUAAAAUGGCUUUACAGGUCAGCUGUUGGAAACCACCCUAAAAUUCCCUCCCCUACCAAGCACCAGAAUUCCACAGGGAGGGGGAUUUUACAUUCCUUGUUUCUCAGUGAGAGCUGUAUCAGUUUCACACUCUCAACUCAAAUGUCUUCAGCAGACCAUCAAUCUGUAACAGGAUACAAGCUAACGAAUCAUUUAAACUCAUAUUAUCCUCUUUGCUUCCAAUCAUAAGCAAAGCGCAUAGUCUUUUGUUCUAAACUAAAAAAAAAAAAAAAAAUCAUCAUUCAGUGUACUGCGCUGAAAUCCGUGGCAUGACACUCCUUUUUUAUAAGAGAAGCUCAUUUUUCUAGGUCUCUAACCUCUUCAUAUUUCAUGCACUUGUUAUUUCCUUCGUUUGUGAAAAGUCAGUCAGUCAGCUCUUGGUCCUGCCAGUCCUUCAGGCAAUGUAAAAG